ensembl:lincRNA Gm44197 predicted gene, 44197
UUUCUCUGGAAGGGUGUAUCUAGGACAUCAGCCUACCCACAGUUCUGGGCUGCGUCUGUUACUGCCUUGCUUACCCUGCCCCCCACCCAUAACUUCAGAGAAAGGAAAACGGACUGAGCCUCAGCACCCACACACCAUGGCUGCCUUGAAUCCAGAGUCAUCAAUACUGGAGUCUUAAAGAGAAAACCAAGAAAGUCUCAUGUCACCGAGCAGGCUGAAGAGGGCAAGUGAAACCCUGAGGCAGCCAAGAUCUCUGCUGGAAAUCCAAAACAUCAAUUCUAUGUAUUCAGGGAACAAUCUGCAGAACAUUGGGAGAUGAUGCAGUUAAAAUAUCGUCUUCAUAGAGAUGAGGUCAUGACUAUAAACACAAUCUUUUAAAGCAUGAAUGAAUAGUCUUCCUCUUGAAGGGCAGUUGCUUGCAAGGGGAUGUCACUGUCUUUGAGAGCUUCAAAUUUUUGGAAAUUCAAGUUGUGUAUAGAAGAAAAUAUCACUCCUUCUUAAACUGA